CUGUUUUCUAUUUCUUCCCCACGCAGACAUCUCUCCCUCUCUUCGCUCCCUCUCUCGGCCGCCUCUCUCUCCCCCCUUCUCCGGCGACGUCGCCAGUUCUCGCCGUCUCCGGCGUGGCGAGGUCGGCACCUCUCCUUCUCCCCCUUUCUUUCAUUUCUUUCCCCCAAAUUCUCAAGCUACAAACUACCUAGGGUUUUUAAGUUUCCCCAUUUCAAAUCUGCUCGUCCGGUGAACUCCAGUGAAUAACGCCGUCUCCGUCGCUACUGCCGCUGCCUGAACGUUGCGCUGCCGUCCCUGCCUCAGGUAUGCCUUUGCCCUUUCUCUGCUCUCCCUAUCAAUCUCCCUCUCUCGGCUCUCUCUAUUUCACUCUCUUUCUCCCUCGCUUAAACUCUUUCUUGCUGUCGGAAACCACCGCGGACCACCGUGGCAGCGCCAGCGGUCGCCGCUGCCACCAACCGCGCCUCCGCUGCGGUGGCUCGCGCCUGCUGCUGCCAUUCCCCUCCUUCUUCACCUUAUUUCCUUUUUCUUUUGUGCUCUUCAAUCUAUUUUCCAGUUUAACAUCUCGUAUUAAUAAAUCCCUAACUAUUUCCUAUUUCAGGAAUCGACUAGCGUCGUUGCUUCGAGACCUCUCCGGCGAGCCAGCCCAUCUACUGCUCAAGACUCUUAUCUUUUUUACCAUUCUUUUGUUAUUAAUCUGCUUUCUUAUUCGAAUACUGCAAAAUUAAGGUUUUGAUGGUGAAGCACAGUGUACUAAUUAACUAUGCUUAUGUUUAAUCUGGUGUGGCUAUGUCCUUUCUGCUGUUCUUGAUUGCUUUUUUUUUAUAUACAAGGAAUUGAUUGAAGAACAUACGGAGAUACACACAGAGAUACUACCUG
rnacentral:lncRNA from 1 species